UUUUUUUUUACGGUCAGACCCAACCUCGCCACGCAAUUUCCUUCCGGGGCUCAACAUCCGGUGGGUUUUCACUGUGCGGGUUUCUCUUUUGAGGUCAUGGGGUGCGUGAGUGGGCGGAAUAAAGGGUCGGUGUGUUGUGUGUGGGUUUUUCUCUCACUCUCUUCCUCCUUCCCUGUCCGUGCAUCUCGACGCUGGCGAUGGAAAUGGGGUGCCCCCACCCGUCUUGAAACACGGACCAAGGAGUCAAACAGACGCGCAAGGGAGGAGUAUGUAUGUGAGAACUCUUUUCUCGUACUGAAAGGGAGGUGUGAUUUUGCACCCGUGGCGUGCGCAAUUUCUCUUUUUUGUGUUUUUGCCCAACGCCGGCCGGCCCCCCGUGGGCUGCGCGCGAGUGUGCCUGUUUGGACCCGAAAGGUGGUGAGCUAUGCCUGAACAAGGUGAAGCCCGGGGAAACCCCGGUGGAGGCCUGUAGCGAUGCUGGCGUGCAAAUCGCUCGUACGAUUUGGGUAUCGGAGCGAAAGACUCAUCGAACAACCUAGUAGCUGGUUCACGUCGAAGUUUCCCUCAGGAUAGCCGGUGCUUGUCUUUAAGAAGUACUGUGCGGUAAAGCAAAUGAUUAGAGGCAUUGGUGUUCUUGUAAUAUCGACCUGUUCUCAAACUUUAAAUGUACAAACAACCCAGCCUUAGUUAUUUUAACAAGGCUUUUGGGUACAUAAGAAUUGAGGCACCAAGUGGGCCUUCUUCGGUAAGCGGAGCAGGCGAUGCGGAAUGAACCGCUUAGGGAUAUGUGGCGUCAAAACUUGUGGGCUCAUUCUCGAUACGUGAAAAGGGUUUUGGUGAAUAUGGGCAGGUGGACGGUGGCCAUGGAAGUCGGCAUCCGCUAAGGAGUGUGUAACAACUCACCAACCGAAUCCACCGGCCCCGAAAAUGGAUGACGCUUAAGCCCCAUGUGCGUGAUUGCCCAUUAUUCCUCUGGUGAGGGCGGCUAUAUUUCUUUGUGAGAAAGUGUAGCCCUCCCGAUGUAGACGUGGCGCGGGGGUGAGGACGAAGCCGAUGGCGCGAGCCUCGGAUGGACCCGCCUCUAGUGCAGAUCUUGGUUGGCGUAGCAAAGAUCUAACGGAAUAUUUUUUCUUAAAUGCAACGUUGGAUACUGGAGCAGGGAAGGAUUUCGUGCCAACGACACUCGUACACGAGUUGUUCGGUCACUGAGCACAACGUUACACCGUUUUGUUAGGAAAGUGAAGGUGGUCGGCGCACUUCUCCCUUUUUUGGGGUUUGUGUGUUUUACCGGCUUAUCUGAAAAGGGGCAACAGAGAACC